UCUCUGAUAGUAUAUCGGUUAGUACACGCGCCUGUCAUGGGAAGGGAAUGCAUAAAUCCGUUUCGCGCGAAAGCUGGGUUCGACUCCCAGUCAGAGAG